UAUAGCUGUCUCUUGUGAGGCAAACACAA
rnacentral:misc_RNA from 1 species